rnacentral:rRNA from 1 species
CCCUACGGGAGGCAGCAGUGGGGAAUAUUGCACAAUGGGGGAAACCCUGAUGCAGCGACGCCGCGUGAGUGAAGAAGUAUUUCGGUAUGUAAAGCUCUAUCAGCAGGGAAGAUAAUGACGGUACCUGACUAAGAAGCCCCGGCUAACUACGUGCCAGCAGCCGCGGUAAUACGUAGGGGGCAAGCGUUAUCCGGAUUUACUGGGGGUAAAGGGGGCGUAGGGGGAAGGGCAAGGCAGAUGGGAAAGCCCGGGGCUCAACCCCGGGACUGCAUUUGAAACUGACAAGCUGGAGGGAAGGAGAGGAA